AGAAUCAACGCUGGCGGCGUGCCUAACACAUACAAGUCGCACGAGAAAGGGUAGCAAUACCUGAGUAAAGUGGCGCACGGGUGAGUAACACGUGACUAAUCUACCCUCGAGUGGGGAAUAACUGAGAGAAAUCUUAGCUAAUACCGCAUAACACUUACGAGUCAAAGCAGCAAUGCGCUUGGGGAGGAGGUCGCGGCCGAUUAGCUAGUUGGCGGGGUAAUGGCCCACCAAGGCGAUGAUCGGUAUCCGGCCUGAGAGGGCGCACGGACACACUGGAACUGAAACACGGUCCAGACUCCUACGGGAGGCAGCAGUGGGGAAUUUUGCGCAAUGGGGGAAACCCUGACGCAGCAACGCCGCGUGGAGGAUGAAAUAUCUUGGUAUGUAAACUCCUUUCGAUGGGAAGAUUAUGACGGUACCAUAGAAGAAGCCCCGGCUAACUUCGUGCCAGCAGCCGC
rnacentral:rRNA from 1 species